GUGCUGAUGGUGUAGGGGUUAAGCGCGCUACAGUCCUUGAAGGCUACAGUCCUCGAAGCGGCUGUCCCGGGUUCGAGUCCCGGACCCAGCGACA